AAUAUUUUUAAAGUCUUCAAAUAAAUGUGUGUGCCUGUGUUGUUUCUAUUACAGAAAGAAGAGGAGGGACUCCUUCACUGAGACUCAUAAAGGCAUAGAGCCUCUGGAGAUCACUGCCUCUAUUACACUACUGGAUCUCAUAGCACUUGUUAUGUUUUCAUCACUUUCUCUCCAGAAGGAUGUUCCUCUUUCUGCUACAUGCCAAUAGCGCACAUGCUUACUCACCCAC
rnacentral:lncRNA from 1 species